rnacentral:rRNA from 1 species
UACGGAGGAUCCGAGCGUUAUCCGGAUUUAUUGGGUUUAAAGGGUGCGCAGGCGGAAGAUUAAGUCGGUGGUGAAAUUUUGCAGCUCAACUGUAAAAGUGCCAUUGAUACUGGUUUUCUUGAGUGUGGAUGAAGUAGGUGGAAUUUGUGGUGUAGCGGUGAAAUGCAUAGAUAUCACGAGGAACUCCGAUUGCGCAGGCAGCUUACUAAACUACUACUGACGCUCAGGCACGAAGGCGUGGGGAUCAAACAGGAUUAGAUACCCGU